rnacentral:misc_RNA from 1 species
AAAGCAGCGCGUCUUUUUUUUUAUGUCCGUCGGCCCCGACUACUUGAGCGCCUUGCUCAACUGCAAUGGAUGCCUGCAGGAGCGCAUCCUGCGCCGCAUCCUCAUCAUCGAGUACGAAACAGACAGCCUUUUGGCGCUACGAUGCGCCCUUGUACCUCUGCAGACCCCAACUCGCAAAAGAAAACGGCACACGGAGCCUGUCGCCGCUCAGGGGACGUGUUUGAGCUUGGAUGCCGAUACGGCUCGUCAUCGAUGGAGCACAGAACUUUCCAAAGCACUCAACGAUGAGGCGGCGAAGGCGAACUGCACCGCAUCGCUGUGUCCGCAUGCAAAGAAGCGCUGGUAUGCAGUCGCCGAGGCACUUCGUCGCGCCGGACACCCGUCAUUCACCCCAUACGAGCUGGUCACCAAGUACAAGGAGAUGCACAGCGAUCCAAGACCCUUUUCACCCAGUGAGGCUUGUUUCGUGUGCCAGUAUGUCCGAGAAAACGGACGUGACUGGCAGGGGCUGUGUCAAGCACUGCGUCAGCGUCUGGGACAUGUACGCACACCUUUUCAAGUAGCCCAGCAAUACCGCCAGAGGUUGCGGUGCGCUUUUGUCGAGAAUCGCCUCACCUCAUCUCAGCUCCUCACCCUGCUCGCAGACCUGCCCGCCUCCCCGCACCGUCGCGACUUUGCCGCGCUGUCGGUGGAGGCGCAGCGGUUCACCUCGCACAAGACACUCCAGGUAAGCCCGCUUUACUUGAAGAGGGAGCUGGAGACCCUUGACUUUGCUGCCCGGGUACCGACGUGCCACCAGCUCUACUGGAAGCUGGUGAACCUUCUGUGCAACUUCUCCCUCUCGCAUCCCAACCGCCUCGAUGCGUUUCAGCACAGGAUGCCAUUCUGCUACCAGCAGCUUUCCCUAGCCGACCUCGCGCGCUCUCUCCAAUGCGAGGCAGUGGAGCUGCAGGAGAGAGUCGUCCACGCACUCCUGCGUCUCAGUCGUCCACCAGAGGCACUCAACUACGAGGAAUGCUCCAAGAAGCUCUUCGGGACGGUGUGCGGUGCACGGCUGAUCUACCAAAUCUCCGAGAAGUUGCACGAAAAAGACACUUGAGCUGCCCGUCACAUCUCACACACAUUAUCUCCUGUUGCACGGCCCUGUGGUCAUGUUGGAGGGCAAAUGACGCAGCUUCGCGGAUUUGUUUUGCAUAGCCCUCAUUGCCUUGUUCCAGCACACCAGUAGCAACCUCGAUGGGUACCUGCUGUCGUCUGCCCUUGCGGGCACACGAAAGAGCAGCGACCCGUUGACAAACUGCGCAAAGGCAAAACAAAAAGAGAAUAUACUAACAGGCUACGGCGGUAAAAGGGCCCGAAAGGAAACGACAUCUUGGCGGCAUCCAUUGCCACAUCGCUACACGGCGCUGCGCGUGACACCGUCAUACACAAUCUAUUGCGCAGGCCUCCCCACUUCUCUGUCGCCCGCCGUCCUCUUCAACCCUUGCCGUACCUUACUUCUCUCUCGAUACUCUCGGUGAACUUGGAAAGCACUCACGAGUCGCGUUUUUUUGUGCGCGUGUGUGCGUUCGCCCUCCCCCCUCCUCCACCACCCCAACCCUAUCUCUCGUCGUCUACCUCUCUCGCACUCCGUUCGUAUAACUCUCCCUCCUCUGUGCAG